CAGGGGUGCGUUUCCCAAAAGCAUCGUUGCUAACUACGGUAGCAACUAACAUGGUUGCAACUAUGUAUGGGUAGGCCUGUCAUGGGAGGCGGAAAAAUGGCCAGCAGGAAGGUGUGCAGCAGCCACUGGAAUGACCUCUUCCACCUCCUCCACUAACAGCUCCUCAUCAGCCGGCAGUGGGAUGUGAUCCUGAAGGGCCAUGUUGCAGAAGCGCCGUCAC